CUGACCAGGGUCGUAUUAGGGUACAGAGUGAGGCCUAUGGAAUUGGCUGUCCCUUCCCUUGGGCAGAGGGGUUUGCCAGGGCCAGGCAGACAUGCACAGGGAACUUUACACAAGUCUUCAAGAGGGAAGGCUUUCUCAAACUCGUCACCCCUCAGCUGCUGAGAACUUGAGCCAGGGGAGGAGAGCAGUGGAGAAGGCAGUAACUUGUGUAGUCCUGGCUGUUCUGGAAGUCCCUCUGUAGACCAGGCUGACGUUGAACUCAGAGAUUCACCUGCCUCUGCUUCCCCACUGCUGGGAUCAAGGAUGUGUGCCAGCACCGCUGGCUAAGAGACCCUUUCCCAAAACACUGAAAACAAUAAAGUUCCCCUCCCUAGGAAUGCUGGC
rnacentral:lncRNA from 1 species